rnacentral:rRNA from 1 species
UACGAAGGUGGCAAGCGUUACUCGGAAUUCCUAGGCGUAAAGGGCAGGUAGGUGGUUCGGUAAGUCUGUUGUGUAAGCUCCCGGCUUAACUGGGAGAGGUCAACAGAAACUACCGGACUUGAGUAUAGGAGAGGGUACUGGAAUUCCCGGUGUAGCGGUGAAAUGCGCAGAGAUCGGGAGGAACACCAAUGGCGAAAGCAGGUACCUGGACUAUUACUGACACUAAGCUGCGAAAGCUAGGGGAGCAAACAGG